rnacentral:rRNA from 1 species
AUUGAACGCUGGCGGCAUGCCUUACACAUGCAAGUCGAACGGUAACAGGUUAAGCUGACGAGUGGCGAACGGGUGAGUAAUAUAUCGGAACGUGCCCAGUCGUGGGGGAUAACGUAGCGAAAGCUACGCUAAUACCGCAUACGAUCUACGGAUGAAAGCGGGGGAUCGCAAGACCUCGCGCGAUUGGAGCGGCCGAUAUCAGAUUAGGUUGUUGGUGAGGUAAAAGCUCACCAAGCCUGCGAUCUGUAGCUAGUCUGAGAGGACGACCAGCCACACUGGAACUGAGACACGGUCCAGACUCCUACGGGAGGCAGCAGUGGGGAAUUUUGGACAAUGGACGCAAGUCUGAUCCAGCAAUGCCGCGUGCAGGACGAAGGCCUUCGGGUUGUAAACUGCUUUUGUACGGAACGAAACGGUGAGCUCUAAUACAGUUUGCUAAUGACGGUACCGUAAGAAUAAGCACCGGCUAACUACGUGCCAGCCGCCGCAGUAAUAC